UACGUAGGGUGCAAGCGUUGUCCGGAAUUAUUGGGCGUAAAGAGCUCGUAGGCGGUUUGUCGCGUCUGCUGUGAAAACCCGAGGCUCAACCUCGGGCCUGCAGUGGGUACGGGCAGACUAGAGUGCGGUAGGGAGAUUGGAAUUCCUGGUGUAGCGGUGGAAUGCGCAGAUAUCAGGAGGAACACCAAUGGCGAAGGCAGAUCUCUGGGCCGUAACUGACGCUGAGGAGCGAAAGCGUGGGGAGCGAACAGG
rnacentral:rRNA from 1 species